rnacentral:rRNA from 1 species
GAUGAACGCUGGCGGCGUGCCUAAUACAUGCAAGUCGAGCGAACAGACGAGGAGCUUGCUCCUCUGACGUUAGCGGCGGACGGGUGAGUAACACGUGGAUAACCUACCUAUAAGACUGGGAUAACUUCGGGAAACCGGAGCUAAUACCGGAUAAUAUAUUGAACCGCAUGGUUCAAUAGUGAAAGACGGUUUUGCUGUCACUUAUAGAUGGAUCCGCGCCGCAUUAGCUAGUUGGUAAGGUGACGGCUUACCAAGGCAACGAUGCGUAGCCGACCUGAGAGGGUGAUCGGCCACACUGGAACUGAGGCACGGUCCAGACUCCUACGGGAGGCAGCAGUAGGGAAUCUUCCGCAAUGGGCGAAAGCUUGACGGAGCAACGCCGCGUGAGUGAUGAAGGUCUUCGGAUCGUAAAACUCUGUUAUUAGGGAAGAACAAAUGUGUAAGUAACUAUGCACGUCUUGACGGUACCUAAUCAGAAAGCCACGGCUAACUACGUG